rnacentral:rRNA from 1 species
AGAGUUUGAUCCUGGCUCAGAGCGAACGCUGGCGGCGUGCCUAACACAUGCAAGUCGAGCGAGAAAGGGGGCUUCGGCCCCUCAGUACAGCGGCGAACGGGUGCGUAACACGUGGGUGAUCUGUCCCCAAGACGGGGAUAACUCAGCGAAAGUUGGGCUAAUACCGGAUAAGACCACAAGAGGAAACUCUCGGGGUCAAAGGGUGCUUUCUUUUGGGAGCACUCGCUGGAGGAGGAGCCCGCGACCUAUCAGCUUGUUGGUAGGGUAACGGCCUACCAAGGCAAAGACGGGUAGCUGGUCUGAGAGGAUGACCAGCCACACGGGGACUGAGACACGGCCCCGACUCCUACGGGAGGCAGCAGUGGGGAAUAUUGGGCAAUGGGGGAAACCCUGACCCAGCGACGCCGCGUGGGUGAUGAAGGCCUUCGGGUCGUAAAGCCCUGUCGGGAGGGACGAAUGAUUCUGUGGUAAACAGCCGCAGGAUGUGACGGUACCUCCGAAGGAAGCACCGGCCAACUCCGUGCCAGCAGCCGCGGUAAGACGGAGGGUGCAAGCGUUGCUCGGAAUCACUGGGCGUAAAGGGUGCGUAGGCGGUCUCUCAAGUCUGACGUGAAAGCCCAGGGCUCAGCCCUGGAAGUGCGCCAGAAACUGAGAGGCUUGAGUGCCGGAGGGGAGAGUGGAAUUCCCGGUGUAGCGGUGAAAUGCGUAGAUAUCGGGAGGAAUACCGGUGGCGAAAGCGACUCUCUGGACGGCAACUGACGCUGAGGCACGAAAGCGUGGGGAGCAAAC